GCUCACCAACUGAGCCAGCCAGGUGCCCCCAAAACACUUUCUGAGGACUCUUUCUAUGCCCUGCAUAUCGCAAUACUUUCCCCAUCCUGGGGUGGGAACACGAACCACUCCUAGACCUGGGUGAGCCACACGGAUUUCUCAGCCUGCUCUUUUUGUUGGUUCUUUUUCCAGGUAAUUUCUCACAUGCACACGCUAAUCGGUGGUCAGCCAAGGUCAGAUUUUCAAUGCUGUCUCCCUUCAUAACUCUCUCCUUCUUCUGCAACUUUCCUCUCCCAGGACCUGGAAUGCCAUGUGCCCUUGGAUAAAAAUGUCCAACCUUCAUCACCAUCGCUUUAUCUUCAAACAGUCACAGUUCCGUGGCAUCCAAAUCAUCACUGGUGCUUGCCUGUAAGUGGCAUGCUGGGAAACGAGUAAGCCAAAUUUGACCUCUCUUUACGCAGCACAGAUUCGGUGUAAGUCUCAGCCCCAAAGAGACAACAGGCAAGGAAACAACUACCCAAUAGUCAGGUUUCCCUAAGAUCCAAUAAAUAGAGUAAGAACUA